GGCAAAUAUAUACUUGAGUGGAUGCAUCAAAAGCUAUAAACAGGAGAGGGAUAGAAAAGAGAAACUCAGAGAUGUCUUCAUUGUUAAUGGCUUUGCUGUAACCGACAAAACUGUGUUCCCAUUAACAAACGAAUACUGAAUAAACAAAGUGUUCUAAUUAAAAGGGGUUAUUUCAUUUUGCUUUUACUAAGGUGACAUAAGAUUAAGUCAUGACCUCCAGGUGGCAGUACAUGGGAGCUACAGAAACAGCGUAGCACAGCAAGCUAUGCUGUUUCCAUAAUGAAGAGAAUACCACACUUGGUAAGACCUGAGCGCAAAGAGUUUGAUACGAGAAAAUUGAACAUUUCUUACCUCGUCAACUGUCUGGGCUGGGUGAAGUCGGAAGUUGACAGUAGCUCUUGCCAUGGGAGGGAUCACAUUUUCCUGAAUAA